rnacentral:rRNA from 1 species
GAGAGUUUGAUUCUGGCUCAGGAUGAACGCUAGCGGCAGGCUUAACACAUGCAAGUCGAGGGGCAGCGGGAUGUAGCAAUACAUUGCCGGCGACCGGCGGAUGGGUGCGUAACGCGUAUGCAACCUACCUUAUACAGGGGAAUAACCUUUCGAAAGGGAGACUAACACCCCAUGGUAUUGAUUUAAGGCAUCUUAGAUUAAUUAAAUAUUUAUAGGUAUAAGAUGGGCAUGCGUAUGAUUAGCUAGUUGGUAAGGUAACGGCUUACCAAGGCGACGAUCAUUAGGGGUUCUGAGAGGAAGGUCCCCCCACACUGGUACUGAGACACGGACCAGACUCCUACGGGAGGCAGCAGUGAGGAAUAUUGGUCAAUGGGCGCAAGCCUGAACCAGCCAUGCCGCGUGCAGGGAAAGACGGCCUUAUGGGUUGUAAACUGCUUUUACAUAGGACUAACCGUAUAUUUGCGAAUAUACCUGAAUGUAUUAUGAGAAUAAGGAUCGGCUAACUCCGUGCCAGCCGCAGC